AAUCGCUUCAGGGCGGGGUGUAAUUCCCCACCGGUGGUAAAUGCAACGUAUAUAGGUAUACGAUUGAAUCAGCCCACGAGCCUAUCAUGUUGUAUAUAUGAUUCGCAGAUUUGGUGAAAUCCCAAAGCCGACGGUAUAGUCCGGAUGAAAGAAGACGAAA
rnacentral:ncRNA from 2 species